rnacentral:rRNA from 1 species
GCCGCGUGGGUGAAGAAGGUCUUCGGAUCGUAAAACCCUGUUGUUAGAGAAGAAAGUGCGUGAGAGUAACUGUUCACGUUUCGACGGUAUCUAACCAGAAAGCCACGGCUAACUACGUGCCAGCAGCCGCGGUAAUACGUAGGUGGCAAGCGUUAUCCGGAUUUAUUGGGCGUAAAGGGAACGCAGGCGGUCUUUUAAGUCUGAUGUGAAAGCCUUCGGCUUAACCGGAGUAGUGCAUUGGAAACUGGGAGACUUGAGUGCAGAAGAGGAGAGUGGAACUCCAUGUGUAGCGGUGAAAUGCGUAGAUAUAUGGAAGAACACCAGUGGCGAAAGCGGCUCUCUGGUCUGUAACUGACGCUGAGGUUCGAAAGCGUGGGUAGCAAAAGGGAUUAGAUACCCUGGUAGUCC